rnacentral:rRNA from 1 species
GACGAACGCUGGCGGUGUGCCUAAUACAUGCAAGUUGAGCGCUGAAGGUUGGUACUUGUACCAACUGGAUGAGCAGCGAACGGGUGAGUAACGCGUGGGGAAUCUGCCUUUGAGCGGGGGACAACAUUUGGAAACGAAUGCUAAUACCGCAUAAAAACUUUAAACACAAGUUUUAAGUUUGAAAGAUGCAAUUGCAUCACUCAAAGAUGAUCCCGCGUUGUAUUAGCUAGUUGGUGAGGUAAAGGCUCACCAAGGCGAUGAUACAUAGCCGACCUGAGAGGGUGAUCGGCCACAUUGGGACUGAGACACGGCCCAAACUCCUACGGGAGGCAGCAGUAGGGAAUCUUCGGCAAUGGACGAAAGUCUGACCGAGCAACGCCGCGUGAGUGAAGAAGGUUGUCGGAUCGUAAAACUCUGUUGGUAGAGAAGAACGUUGGUGAGAGUGGAAAGCUCAUCAAGUGACGGUAACUACCCAGAAAGGGACGGCUAACUACGUG